rnacentral:rRNA from 1 species
AGCGAACGCUGGCGGCAGGCCUAACACAUGCAAGUCGAACGAACUCUUCGGAGUUAGUGGCGGACGGGUGAGUAACACGUGGGAACGUGCCUUUAGGUUCGGAAUAACUCAGGGAAACUUGUGCUAAUACCGAAUGUGCCCUUCGGGGGAAAGAUGUAUCGCCUUUAGAGCGGCCCGCGUCUGAUUAGCUAGUUGGUGAGGUAAAGGCUCACCAAGGCGACGAUCAGUAGCUGGUCUGAGAGGAUGAUCAGCCACAUUGGGACUGAGACACGGCCCAAACUCCGACGGGAGGCAGCAGUGGGGAAUCUUGCGCAAUGGGCGAAAGCCUGACGCAGCCAUGCCGCGUGAAUGAUGAAGGUCUUAGGAUUGUAAAAUUCUUUCACCGGGGACGAUAAUGACGGUACCCGGAGAAGAAGCCCCGGCUAACUUCGUG